AUACGGAGGAUGCGAGCGUUAUCCGGAUUUAUUGGGUUUAAAGGGUGCGUAGGCGGUCGGGUAAGCGUAGGGUGAAAGUCCUCUGCUCAACAGGGGAAGUGCCUUCCGAACUGUCCGACUUGAAUUCUCCUGCCGUGGGAGGAAUGUGUGGUGUAGCGGUGAAAUGCAUAGAGAUCACACAGAACACCGAUUGCGAAGGCAUCUCACGAAGGGGCGAUUGACGCUGAGGCACGAAAGCGUGGGGAUCAAACAGGAUUAGAUACCCUGGUAGUCCACGCAGUAAACGAUGAUGACUAACCGUCGGUCCGUACGGAUCGGUGGCCAAGCGAAAGCGAUAAGUCAUCCACCUGGGGAGUACGACCGCAAGGUUGAAACUUAAAUGAAUUGGCGGGG
rnacentral:rRNA from 1 species